UACGUAGGGUGCGAGCGUUAAUCGGAAUUACUGGGCGUAAAGCGUGCGCAGGCGGCUUCGCAAGUCAGAUGUGAAAGCCCCGGGCUCAACCUGGGAACUGCAUUUGAAACUGGCGGGCUUGAGUGUGGCAGAGGGGGGUGGAAUUCCGCGUGUAGCAGUGAAAUGCGUAGAGAUGCGGAGGAACACCGAUGGCGAAGGCAGCCCCCUGGGCCAACACUGACGCUCAGGCACGAAAGCGUGGGGAGCAAACAGG
rnacentral:rRNA from 1 species